AGUACAGCUUCCACAGGAGCAAGGGAUGUCUGAGCACAAGUGGCUGAGUUCCGAGUGACUUUAUGAAGCACUUUCUACCUUCCUCUCCGGCAUGAAAACAGGGAUUCUGCACCUGCAUCAUGGACAGUCUGGCAAAAGCCUCUGCUCUGCCUCCGGGGACAAGAAACUAGAGCAAAUAACCGUUUUGAAAUUAGAUCCUGGCAAAAUUACCAACAAUCAAUGAUGGAAACUGAAGGGAGAUUGAUUUAAAUCUUCAAUGACAGUUGUACAGAAGUUGAAGAAACACGUCAUCUUUCCAAAGAAGAGUGAGUAGCUUGGUUGGUGGUACCCUAAAAUUAGGGCAUGAUUAAGUUAUUUAUUACUCACAGUUCUGUAGUUUUAACCAGAACAAAGGGAUUACCCAGAAGAAAAGAAGGUAAGCUAUUUCAUCAGUUUUGGUGGAAAUCAGAAGUUUUUUUUUCUAUUAUUAGCUUUGUAUUCUUAAAAAAGAAAAAAGAAGGAGAAAAAAAAUCUCAUCUUCUCAUUUAUAAGAAUUCCCAUAAAAUUUGGCAGUGGUGAGGUGGGGAGGAAAUGCAUUAUCAAUAAACAGCUAGAUCCUAUUAUUGGAGACAAUCAGUUUUAUUCUGCAGAAAAUAUAGUUUGUUCUUGAAGAUUUAAUAGAUAUAAUAUUUUUUAAACCAACAUAUUAAAUAUACCAGUAAAUAUUUUUGUUAAACAAGGCUUUUAAAAUUUAAAUUAUACCCCUAAACUGGCUUUCUAGUUUUUCUGGAGAAAUAAAGAAAUUUUAAAGGAAAUAUCCACUCAGAUUAAUACUGCAAAUAUCAUACAAAAAUGUGUGUGGUGAUAUUACUGAAAAUGAGGAUUUUUGAAAACUAGAAGAGCAAAAAGUCGUUGCUCCAAAAGGCUUCAAGACUGCCUUAGGAUUAACAAUGCAAGUCUUCAAUGUAUUUAGGUAAUCAUAAUUUGAUUAGCUUUCUAAACCUAAACAUAUUUUGAUUCAAAUGUUUAAAAUAUGGUCAUCUCUUCAGUUAAAGAUGAACAUUUUGAUGAAAUAACAAUACUUAAAGCGUUCUCCGUCUCCACAAUUAAGUGCUACCUGUUAUUUAUUCAGAGCAUAUGUUUCAGUCUCAAAACACCAAGGACACAUCUCAGUGAAAUAAAAAUAA
ensembl:lncRNA MIR181A1HG MIR181A1 host gene